UCCCUGGUAGUCCAGUGGUUGUGUCCCUGCACUCCCAAUGCAGGGGGCCUGGGUUCAAUCCCUGGUUGGGGAA
rnacentral:tRNA from 1 species